CUAUUGCGUGGUUCAAGAACGCCUUUUUGGUGCACUCCAGCGUCGCCGCACCCGACGGCAUCGGCCCCGCUCUCCCGUCUGCGCGCACAGACUCACACACAAGCAGAAGCACGGCUGUAACGCAGCGACGCAGCUCAUCCACGCACUUCCUGAGGCUCCCCUCUGCACAUCGCACAUGCACGAACGUGCACAUCGCACAUAAAUACACAUACAUGCACGUACACACAGGCACACAGCCGACUAACUGAAGGACAAAAUAGACGCAUGUGUGGGAGCUUUUCCUCGUCAAGGCAGGGAUCUGUUUGACUCCCCUCACUCGUUGCACUCCGUUGGCGCGUUUCAAAACGCUCUUCUGGGCAUUGCGGAUCCUUUGCACCGGCAUUGAGUGCACGCUCGCACACAUAUACACAUACACAUCCAUACAUCCAUACACGUGUUCAUAGAAGACCUCAUGCCCUUGGAGGACAAGGAUUCGCCGAAGCCCUUGAUGUCGCCGUUGAGCGACUCGGUGGAACUUGGUAGUUUUCCCAUGCCCACGCAGCUCCGCUCCACAGGGUGGUUGGAUGCUGUUCAUGGCACACGGCUGCCCGCGUCACCAUCGCCACCAGCCGCGUCCGUCACCAACAACGCCUGUGCGGCAGCACCGCAACACCUGAGCAGCGACGCUGGAAAGAAGCGCGCGCAGAGCAGCACCCACAAUGAGCAAACGCCUACGGAAAAUCGCCAUCCAGCAGAGGCAACGACGAUGGGGAGCCCCAUCCCGGUCGAAUCCGACUACUCAGACGUGCAUAUACAGCAACUCGUGUCGCGCGUAAGGCAAAAGGCAAGGCUGGAUCACUACGUCACCACUCCAGGUUCGGCGCGCGGCCCCGCGAAAACGCCAGCGCUGCCCCUAGCGCCAGCAAAGCAGAACGCGUUUCCUUGCACGUCUGCCUCAUCACACCCGUCGCCGUCGGAUUCUUUUCCUCAAAGAUCUUCCCCGCAGGCGAUGCCCGCGCGGUCGACCGCGACUGCGUCACCACCGACUCCGGUGCCGUUUCAACACUCCCCGUUUGGAGACAGUCAUGUGGCGGAAGCGAUCGCGCAGAAAACGAGAUCGCAGUGGUACAGCGAUGAUGGUACUACCACCGCCUUCGCCAGCGACUCGCUGCAGCGACAGGGCCCGCAGCAACCGACGGUGUACUCAUCUGCGCUAAUGCAAGCGCUGUCGCGCACAGAGGGUGCUGCGGCUCUGAGGUGCCCGUGGACCCUGUCGACGCAGCGCGGGGGCUCCUCCGCGUACUACUCAGAGAGUGACAUGGCCAAGGGCAGCUCUAGCGACCUCCCUCCCGACAUGUACGUGGAGGGGAUGAGGGCGAAAGUGGCGAAGCAACAGUGGGUGGCGCUCGAGAAGGCGCGGCAGGAGGUGCUGGAGGAGGCGCGCCGGCGACGUGACUGUCCAUUCGCCCCUCAAGUCUCCCCUUACGCCGCGCGCAUACGUAGACCGGCUUCUCUCCGCCCAGAGAACCGUUUUAACGCUGAGGUUAUCCGCCGCAAGCAAUGGUUGGCCAAGAAGCAGAGUGAGGAGGUGGAGCGCGAGCUGCAGUCCUGCACUUUCCGUCCCCUGACCCUGCGGACUGCUCAGCUAGACCCCGCCGUCAUCGAUUCGCCGCGGGCAGUGACUACCGUGUUCCACGAUCUGUACACAGAGGCGGAGAACCGUCGCGCCUUCGAGCGGGACGUCAAGCCGCAGCUUGUCCAUCAGAUAGAAGAGCGCCGCCGCCCCUCUCCGGCACGGAUGGGACCGGCGCAGGUGGCAGAGGUAGUGGAGCGUUUGUGUGCCCGCAGUGUCGUGCGUAGCGGGGUCCGUGCCAGACUGCAGAAGGACAACGCGGACCUUGUUCCAUAUGAGAGCGACGCUGGACCGGCGGAGUGUGCCGGUGCGCAGUCAGAUCAGCAUCACCCAACCUUGUCGCUGGAAACGCGGCGCAUCAUGGCCGCCAAGGUCACAUCAGGCGAGCGCGAUGGCAACAUCAUCAAGGAACUGUACCGUCAUGCUGAGCAAGGCGUCGCGCAAGGUCAACUGAAGCACGAACUGGACAAGGAGCAGGCACGACUGGCGCGGGCGGAGCAGGUCAUAGAGCUUGCCCGUGAGCGCAAGCGGCUUCAGCAAGAGUACUACCGCGCUGUGCUAGUCGCCAAGUUCCGCGCGCUUGCACAGCACGUGGCGUGCGCACAGCACUGCGCAUACCGCGCCACCGCACCACAGCCUGUGGUCCAGCUGGCUCGCGCUGCCCUGGACGUCCUGAGCGCUGACGAAGCUGAGGAGCUGCUUGGAGCCGUGGAGCGCUGCGGGCGACACAAGUUGACGGAAGGUGAGUUUGUGGCAGUGGUGCUUCAGUACUUGGCGGAGCAACGGGUGACCCCUGUGCAAAGUGCUCUCCUCCGCAACGCUCCUCCUCGGCCACCUUCGACGCGCGUGGCUGCGAGUGCCGCCACACUGAAGCGGGCAGACAGUGCUCCAGGUAUCGCAGGCAGCGCGGAGAGCUCCCCUGCGGGGUUGCCUCGCGUGAAGCGAGAGAAACCCGACCCGGAGGUGAUCGAGCAGGUUCGCGCUCGACGGGCGCAGGAGCUGGUCGAGUGGAGGAAGGAGAGCCAGCGUAAACGCGCUAUCUGCGAUGGGGCGCUCGUCGAGGGGGCUGACUACACCUUCCAGCCGGCGCCGCGCCGCUUGAUCCCGUACGCGUGCCGGCCCGACGUGACGGUGCCGGUAAGGUCAACGAAGAGUGAGGAGCUGCGGCGCGCCUACUUAAGUGCGCGCAUGCAGGGCACCGCGCCAGCGCUUGCGGUCGACUCCGUGGUACCCUCUGUCUCUGCCCAGGUAUUCAAUGCGUCCCGUGCGAUUGCCCGAGAGCUUUUUGCGCGGGGCACUUCAGAUCUGGCUCCAUCGUCGACGCGCGAGCGUUCACGGAGCGCCGCCGCCCGUGUUGAGACACCAGCGCAGCGGGAGGGAGGCGCUGCAGCACUCACGCCCACUGCGAGCGGGCCUGCGGCAAUUUCUCCUGCAUCUCUCAAGUGCCCGUCUGCAGAAGCUUCACGGGUUCUCUCCGCCGCCCUCGCCGGUAGAAAAGACCCCGAAGCGCCGGAACGACAACGCAACUUGCAGGCUGCGGCACCUGCGGGGUCGUCAGCGGUAGCAACUCGUCAGCCGGCAUCGGCACCCGCCGCCCCCGCACCCACCAGCAAAGGUCACCCAAGUCGACUGGCAGCACGCCCCUCCAGCGGGAGCGCCCGUCAGAGUCGCUGCAACGUGUUGGCGGAACCGCCGUCUUUGGUUGAGCAAAUCAUGCAUAGCACUCCAGAGGACCGAGCGCGUCUUGGGCGUGAGCUGCUGCUGCGACAAGUGCGAGAGCAUCAGCGCCGCUCCGGUGCCGUCGACUAGAGUGGCGAAUGAUGUAGGCUCGCACCGGAGCCGGAGGGAGCGAGAGGGCGGAUGGAAGGCCGUGCAGCGCUGCUUGUGCAGCACGUUCGCCAAAAGGUAAAGAAAAAAGUGGAACAGUGUUUGUGGCGCCUGUCUCUGCACGCGGGUCGCGAGUCGACACACCGUGUCUCUUGGUUCUAGUUGAAAGGUGGAUCGGUGGUAGUGAUACGAGAGAGAGAGAGCCACGUUAGAUCGAGUGUGCGUAUGUGUUUGUGUGUAUGCGGUCCUCUCUGUUUGCUCCGUGAACCGCCCGCCUGCCUAUUGGAGGCUGCAGAAGUACGAGAUGCGAGCAUCUCAAGAUGGUGC
rnacentral:misc_RNA from 1 species